AGGAUAAACGCUGGCGGCGUGCAUGAGACAUGCAAGUCGAACGGACACUCGGGGCUUGCUCCGAGUGUUAGUGGCGGACGGCUGAGUAACGCGUAGGUGACCUGCCCCGAAGUGGGGAAUAACUGCCCGAAAGGGUGGCUAAUACCGCAUGUGGUGGAACGUUCAUUCGUUCCAGUAAAGCCGCAAGGCGCUUCGGGAGGGGCCUGCGUCCGAUUAGCUCGUUGGUGGGGUAACGGCUCACCAAGGCGACGAUCGGUAGGUGGUCUGAGAGGACGAUCACCCAGACUGGGACUGAGACACGGCCCAGACUCCUACGGGAGGCAGCAGUCGGGAAUUUUGCGCAAUGGACGAAAGUCUGACGCAGCAACGCCGCGUGAGGGAUGACGGCCUUCGGGUUGUAACCCUUUAUCAGGGACGAUAAUGACGGUACCUGAUGAAUAAGUCACGGCUAACUACGUGCCAGCAGCCGC
rnacentral:rRNA from 1 species